AGCGAACGCUGGCGGCAGGCUUAACACAUGCAAGUCGAGCGGGCGUAGCAAUACGUCAGCGGCAGACGGGUGAGUAACGCGUGGGAACGUACCUUUUGGUUCGGAACAACACAGGGAAACUUGUGCUAAUACCGGAUAAGCCCUUACGGGGAAAGAUUUAUCGCCGAAAGAUCGGCCCGCGUCUGAUUAGCUAGUUGGUGAGGUAACGGCUCACCAAGGCGACGAUCAGUAGCUGGUCUGAGAGGAUGAUCAGCCACAUUGGGACUGAGAUACGGCCCAAACUCCUACGGGAGGCAGCAGUGGGGAAUAUUGGACAAUGGGGGGCAACCCUGAUCCAGCCAUGCCGCGUGAGUGAUGAAGGCCCUAGGGUUGUAAAGCUCUUUUGUGCGGGAAGAUAAUGACGGUACCGCAAGAAUAAGCCCCGGCUAACUUCGUGCCAGCAGCCGCGGUAAU
rnacentral:rRNA from 1 species